rnacentral:rRNA from 1 species
UACGUAGGGGCCGAGCGUUGUCCGGAUUCAUUGGGCGUAAAGAGCUCGUAGGCGGUCGCGUAAGUCGGGUGUGAAAUCUCCGGGCUCAACCCGGAGGGGCCACCCGAUACUGCUCGACUUGAGUCCGGUAGGGGAGUGGGGAAUUCCUGGUGUAGCGGUGAAAUGCGCAGAUAUCAGGAGGAACACCGGUGGCGAAGGCGCCACUCUGGGCCGGUACUGACGCUGAGGAGCGAAAGCGUGGGGAGCAAACAGG